GACAAUACCUGUAAUCCAUAUCAUCAUACUCCUAUUGGAAAAUAUUUAUUGUAGACAUAUAUUGGCCUAAGGAUUGAGCCUCUACAUCUCAUAGGAGGAAAGUGCAGUGCUCAGCCUGGAAAAGGAGAUCUUCAAAGGUCCCAAU
rnacentral:lncRNA from 1 species